ensembl:rRNA 5S_rRNA 5S ribosomal RNA
GCUUACGACCACACCACACCGGCCUGAGUACGCCUGAUCUCGUCUGAUCUCGGAAGCUAAGCAGGGUCGGGCCUGGUUAGUACUUGGAUGGGAGACUUCCUGGGAAUACCAGGUGCUGUAAGCU